rnacentral:rRNA from 1 species
UACGUAGGGGGGCUAGCGUUGUCCGGAUUUAUUGGGCGUAAAGAGCGUGUAGGCGGCCAGGUAGGUCUGGUGUGAAAACUCGAGGCUUAACCUCGAGAUGUCAUCGGAAACCAUCUGGCUAGAGUCCGGAAGAGGAGUGUGGAAUUCCUGGUGUAGCGGUGAAAUGCGCAGAUAUCAGGAAGAACACCUAUGGCGAAGGCAGCACUCUGGGACGGUACUGACGCUGAGACGCGAAAGCGUGGGGAGCGAACAGG